GACGAACGCUGGCGGCGUGCUUAACACAUGCAAGUCGAACGGGAGUACUUUGAAAGCUUGCUGAUAAGUACUUUAGUGGCGGACGGGUGAGUAACGCGUGAGGAGCUGUCUUAUGCAGGGGGACAACAGUUGGAAACGGCUGCUAAUACCCCAUAAGCCGAGAGGUAAAAGGAGCAAUCCGGCAGAGGAGGUACUCGCGUCCUAGCAGCUAGUAGGUUGGGUAACGGCCGACCUAGGCGAAGACGGGUAGCCGGCCUGAGAGGGCGAACGGCCACACUGGAACUGAGAUACGGUCCAGACUCCUACGGGAGGCAGCAGUGGGGAAUAUUGGGCAAUGGGGGGAACCCUGACCCAGCGACGCCGCGUGGGUGAAGAAAUCCUUCGGGAUGUAAAGCCCUGUUGUAUGGGAAGAGCAGAAGACGGUACCAUACGAUGAAGCCCCGGCAAACUACGUGCCAGCAGCCGCGGUAA
rnacentral:rRNA from 1 species